UGUAAAUAGCUUGUUAAAAAUGAUAUAGGUAAAGGGAGGAAAGAAAAAUAAUUUUAAAGAAAAAUUGUGUUAGUAAUUUUUAAUGAAAGUAGGAUAAAGACUAGAGAGAAAAGUACUGUGAAGGAAAGCAAUAAGACUUAGUAUAGGAAAAGUAAACUUUUGUGCCUUGUGUAUCAGAAAAAAUUUAUAUAAUUUAGUCAGUCUAAAGGUCUCGAAAUAAAAUAUAGUAAUUUUUAUAAAAUUUUCUUUUUAGAAAAAAAGAAUUUAAUGUAAAAUUUAAAGUGAAACGCUAGUUGAGUUUUAUUAUAUCUAGUUUUUUUAAAAAUAAAUUGAAUUUAUUUUUUAUAGCUAUAAGAUAUAAAAUUUAAUGGCAAGAGGGAACAGCUUCUUGUGUAAAAUGUUGUAAAAUAGUUAAGUAAUAGGAUAUUUUAUAGAUUAGGCUUAAAAGUAGCCAUAUUUAAAAAGUGUUUUAACUAAAUUAUGGUUUAAAAAUAUUUAGGGUAACUUUUUCAAUGUAUAAAAAAAUUAUUUGAAAUGUAAAAGAAUAAAAUAUAAUGAUUUUAUUAGUAAAAUUUGCUAUGAAAAUGAGUGU
rnacentral:rRNA from 1 species